UACGUAGGGGGCAAGCGUUGUCCGGAAUCAUUGGGCGUAAAGCGCGUGUAGGCGGCUCGGUAAGUCUGCUGUGAAAGUCCAGGGCUCAACCCUGGGAUGCCGGUGGAUACUGUCGAGCUCGAGUCCGGAAGAGGCGAGUGGAAUUCCUGGUGUAGCGGUGAAAUGCGCAGAUAUCAGGAGGAACACCAGUGGCGAAGGCGGCUACCUGGACCGGUACUGACGCUGAUGCGCGAAAGCGUGGGGAGCAAACAGG
rnacentral:rRNA from 1 species